UCGAAUCUAUCCAAAAAUCAGAAUCACGAUGUCAAAAUAUGCUAAGGGAACGAAGCCCAAGCGAAAACAAUCAAAUAAUAGCAGAAAUCUCGAAAUUGGCCAAACCCAACCCCCGGGCCCACGUCUCGAAAGUCGAUAAAAAUCACAUUACCGGAAUCCUUAUCCUCCUACGAGUCUAUACAUAUCAAAAACACUAAAAUUAGAGUCCAAAUGGCCCCUCAAAUCCUCAUUUAAAGUCUCUUAAUCUCAAGCCCUAACUUCUCAAUUUUUAGGCUUAGAUUCCAUGAUUUAUUAGGUAGAUUUCACAAUAGAAUAGAGUUUUAAGUCCAAAAUUCUUACCUCCAAAUGUUUCCCCUUGAAUCCCUCUUCAAUCUCCUUCAAAAAGCUCCAAAAACGACCAACUAUGGAGGAAAUAAACCCCAAAAUCACGGACAAGACGAGUACUUAAACAUUCUGUCCAGGCCUAAAUUUCCUUCUUCGCGAACGCGGUCAAAGCCUCACGUUCGCGAAGCUCACAAAUUUCGUUGACCAAAACUCUUCUUUGCGAGCGCGACCCCACCAUCGCGAACACGAUGCCUUAGCUUCACCAACCUACGCGAACGCGACCAAGCCUCUCGCGAACCCGAUGCUUACUAAUCCAGCCCUUCGCGAACGCUGAACUCCCCUUCACGAACGCGAAGGCUAAACCUGGCACCUCCCUUCUUGACCCUUCGCGAACGCAAGGGUCCACUCGCGAACGCGAAGACCAAAAUAUCUACAACAGCUGAAACCAUUUUCUUUAAUUUUUCUUAACUUAAAAUGAUCCAUUCAACCCUCCGAAACUCACCCGAGGCCCCCGGGACCUCAACCAAAGGCACAAACAUAUCCCAUUACCUUAUCCAAACUUGUUCCAAUCUUCAAAACACCUCAAACAACAUCAAAUCAACCAAAACACAUCAGAUUCAAGCCUAACUUUCUAAAAUCUUCUGAAUUCCUCUUUUGAUAAAAAAAACCCAACCAAACCACGUCCAAAUGACCUGAAAUUUUGCACACAUCCCAAAUGACACAACGGAACUACUGCAACUCUCGGGAUUCCAUUCGACUCCUAGAUCAAAAUCUUGCCUACCAACCGAAAAUUGCCAAAAUAUCAACUUCACCAAUUCAAGCCUAAAUCUACUCCGAACCUCCAAAACUCAUUCCAAUCGCGCUCCUAAGUCCCAAAUCACCUCCCAAAGUCAACCGAACCAUCAGAACUCACAUCCGAGCCUCUAACACAUAAGUCAAUAUCCGGUUGACUUUUCUAACUUAAGCUCUCUUAAAAGAGACUAAGUGUCUCAAACCUUACCAAAAUCAUUCCAUAUUCGAUCCAACCAACCCGAUACCAUAUAACAUGUAUAAACAAAGCAUAAAGAAGCAGAAAUAGGGAAAUCGGAGCAAUAACUCCUGAGACGACUGAUCAGAUCGACACAAUCUCCAUUUAAGCUUCCAAUAUAUAUUACAA
rnacentral:lncRNA from 1 species